UAGGGAAUCUUCCACAAUGGACGCAAGUCUGAUGGAGCAACGCCGCGUGAGUGAAGAAGGUUUUCGGACCGUAAAGCUCUGUUGUGGUGAAGAAGGAUAGAGGCAGUAACUGGCCUUUAUUUGACGGUAAUCAACCAGAAAGUCACGGCUAACUACGUGCCAGCAGCCGCGGUAAAUACGUAGGUGGCAAGCGUUGUCCGGAUUUAUUGGGCGUAAAGCGAGCGCAG
rnacentral:rRNA from 1 species